UCACUGGCAAGUGGCAGACUACCUACGUAGGCUUUUCCUUCCGCUUAUAAAUAUUAUAUAUUAACGAGAAGACUUGUGAAACCAACUCAGGCAGUCAUUUUAUUCAAAUCUUAUUAUUAUUAAAACAUUCUAAUCGAACAAUGUUAUCUUUUCUUGGUUCCAGCUUGCGUGCGCUGCAUUUAGAUAUCAUUAUUCUGAGUGUUGUCUCUUGUUAUACAAGCGUUGCAAACCCGAUCGAUCAGGGAAAACAAGAUUUCGUUAAAACAGCCGCCCGCAAUGGAUUCCAAAAUUCCGGCACGCUUAGAGCGAAUUCCAGCGUUUCAGGUAGAAAUUAUUCAGUAAAUUUAAAUUCCGAAGGAGACACCCAGCGAGAUUUCUUUGGGAGAAGAAUGGAUAGUGGCGGCGCUACUGGAUUGGAUAGUGUCAAUUUUGCCUUUAGUCUGGGACGUGAUAUUAGAACCAUUCUGGAAAAACUUGAUAAAGUCGCCAGCAGCUCCUUGAGUGGUUAUUUAGCAUUAACAGCCCGCGUGGCAUCAUUGGAAAAUUCAGUGAAAGCAGAUUUUACCAACAAUUCAGCAAACAUUUCCGAAGGGCUGCAAAAUCUUCGGUUGGCGUUGACCAACCGACUAGCUCUAUUGGAAAAUGGUGUGGCCAUCACCGCGCGCACUUCCAUGAAGUGUUCGUUAAAGAAAAGAAGUAAACCGGUUCCUGCCGGGACCAUGAAAGCCGGAGAUGAAUUAUAUACCGAAGAACAGUUUUGUGCCACCGAUCUUCAAACAUGUCUGUACCUGCAGAGCAACGGAAAUAUGGUGCUCUACCGGACGAUGACAAAAAAACACAGCCGGUACUUUGCGAUUGCUUUAUGCGGCUAGUUGUUUCGAAAACGGCUCGGUUUACAUGUUCAGCAAUGCAUUAAUCAGGUGACAGACAGAACAUUCUGUGCAAAGUACGGUAAUUCAUUCACGCAGCGUUACAAUGGAGGCUAUAACACUGCAACAGACAGAUCGUAUGCAGCAGCUCGCAAACGCGAGCGCCAGCUUUUAUUUUAACGCGCAAUGGCGCUAACCGGCUCGGGCAGAGCAAGACGUUCAACAGAACCAGACUAAGAGAAUUCUAAACAGGUAGACAGCAAGCACAUCUCUAGGGAAGGCGCCAAUCCUCUGCUUCGACUGAUCUCCCUGUCUCCUUCCAUUUGGCACGAUUGGUGCUGCGGACAUCACAGGCCUUUCAGUCCAAGCCGUCACUGAGUAGCCAGGGUGGUAUUGUGAUCCUCCAUCUCCCGUGCCCGUCUCCUUGGUGGUAAUGCUGCCUCAGCCAAGCACUUCGCACACAGGCCUUGCGGGCCGUGCACUCGCAGCCUGAACUCAGAGUGGUCACCCAUCUAAGUCCAAACCGCGCUCGAUGUAGACUAUCUUUCAAAACCCGAAGGUUUAUCCAUCUAGCCACAACGAGUGACUGCAGGUUAUUUGGACCUCGUACACUGGAGUGGGUGACUGCCGGUCGCUUCUCAAAAUGCAAGACGACGGCCGUCUUGCGGUGUAUCAUUUCCCAACAACGGUCGCCAGAUGGGCAACACCUUUAGCCGCAGGCGCCGAGCUGGGAUUUCGAGCGAAUGGCCACUUGUGCCUAAGGUCUCCUGGUGCCGCUGACAAUUCUGACUGUUUAUGGUCCACGGAUUUUAUUGAUCCGGCUUGGGAAUCUCAGAUAUACUACCAGAAGUGAAAACAACCUGCGAUUAUUUAAUCGAAGUUGGUGUAUUUGCUAAGUAGCAUCGUAAAAUCAAUGAAAUCAUGCUAGGCUGGGCUGUGCAUUUAACUCUGAAACAAUCCAAACCAGACAUCUUGUCUUUUACUCCAAACAUUCGCUACAACUAUUUUCGGUAUUCACAUGAUGGCAAUUUUUAAAGAAUGUACGAGCAUGUAAAGCAUGCUGUCUUUUUAUCAGCGGGGAAAAAAUGUUCUUAAAAUUGGUUCCAAAAUAAUGUGCAA